rnacentral:rRNA from 1 species
UUUCGCAAUGCCCGAAAGGGUGACGAAGCGACGCCGCGUGGGUGAGGAAGGCCCUUGGGUUGUAAAGCCCUGUCAGGAGUUAAGAAAUAUAAGUGUGCUAAUAUCGCAUUUAUUUGACAAAGGCUCCAAAGGAAGUCACGGCUAACUCUGUGCCAGCAGCCGCGGUAAUACAGAGGUGGCAAGCGUUGUUCGGAAUUAUUGGGCGUAAAGAGCACGUAGGUGGGUUUGUAAGUCAGAUGUGAAAGCCUCCUGUUCAACGGGAGAAUUGCAUCUGAAACUACAAAUCUUGAGUGUAGGAGGGGAGAAUGGAACUUCUGGUGGAGCGGUGAAAUGCGUAGAUAUCAGAAGGAACGCCGGCGGCGAAAGCGAUUCUCUGGCCUAUUACUGACACUCAGUGUGCGAAAGCUAGGGGAGCAAACGGGAUUAGAUACCCCGGUAGUCCUAGCCGUAAACGAUGGGCACUAAGUAGAGGGGUUUUA